rnacentral:rRNA from 1 species
CAGUCGCCGCGGUAAUACGUAGGGUGCAAGCGUUAAUCGGAAUUACUGGGCGUAAAGCGUGCGCAGGCGGUUAUAUAAGACAGAUGUGAAAUCCCCGGGCUCAACCUGGGAACUGCAUUUGUGACUGUAUAGCUAGAGUACGGCAGAGGGGGAUGGAAUUCCGCGUGUAGCAGUGAAAUGCGUAGAUAUGCGGAGGAACACCGAUGGCGAAGGCAAUCCCCUGGGCCUGUACUGACGCUCAUGCACGAAAGCGUGGGGAGCAAACAGGAUUAGAGACCCAGUAGUCCCUGUCUCUUAUACC